rnacentral:rRNA from 1 species
CAUGCAGGUCCAACGCCCCGCAAGGGGAGUGGCAGACGGGUGAGUAACGCGUGGGAGUCUACCCUUUUCUACGGAACGACUGACUGGAAACUUCAGCUAAUACCGUAUACGCGCCGAGAGGCGAAAGAUUUAUCGGAGAAGGAUGAGCCCGCGUUGGAUUAGCUAGUUGGUGGGGUAAAGGCCUACCUAGGCGACGAUCCAUACCUGGUCUGAGAGGAUGAUCAGCCACACUGGGACUGAGACACGGUCCACACUCCUACGGGAGGCAGCCCUGGGGAAUAUUGGACAAUGGGCGCAAGCCUGAUCCAGCCAUGCCGCGCGAGUGAUGAAGGCCCUAGGGUUGUAAAGCUCUUUCACCGGUGAAGAUAAUGACGGUAACCGGAGAAGAAGCCCCGGCUAACUUCGUGCCAGCAUCCGCGGUGAUACGAAGGGGGCUAGCCUUGUUCGGAUUUACUGGGUGUACAAGCGCACGUAGGCGAGACUAUUAAGUCAGUGGGUGAAAUCCCGCGGGCUCAACCCCGAGAGGUGCCUAUUGAUACUGCGUAGUCUUCGAGUUCGUAGAGAGGUGAGGUGGAAUUCCUGAGUGUAUGAGGUGAUAAUUCGCUCGAUGGUUCGGACGGAACGACCUGUCGCGUAAUGCGUGCUCAGUUGGGUCGUAUACAUGACAGCUUGAGUGUGCAGAUACCGAUGUGGGUAACAAUACAGAGAUUGAGAUAUCCCUCGGUAAGUACCACGCCGUUAGACCUAUGCAGACCCUAUCCGCUCGAGUACGUAUACUUGUUCGGUCGGCACGUCCUAACGACAUUAAGCUGCUCCGCCUACGCGAGUACGUGUCGCAACGAUUAACUACUCAUAUCGAGUUGAUCGGGC